CCUACGGGAGGCAGCAGUAGGGAAUUUUCCACAAUGGGCGAAAGCCUGAUGGAGCAACGCCGCGUGGGUGAAGAAGGUCUUCGGAUCGUAAAACCCUGUUGUUAGAGAAGAAAGUGCGUGAGAGUAACUGUUCACGUUUCGACGGUAUCUAACCAGAAAGCCACGGCUAACUACGUGCCAGCAGCCGCGGUAAUACGUAGGUGGCAAGCGUUAUCCGGAUUUAUUGGGCGUAAAGGGAACGCAGGCGGUCUUUUAAGUCUGAUGUGAAAGCCUUGGGCUUAACCGGAGUAGUGCAUUGGAAACUGGGAGACUUGAGUGCAGUAGAGGAGAGUAGAACUCCAGGUGUAGCGGUGAAAUGCGUAGAGAUAUGGAGGAACACCAGUGGCGAAGGCGGCUCUCUGGACGGUAACUGACGCUCAGGUUCGAAAGCGUGGGUAGCAAACAGGAUUAGAUACCCCUGUAGUC
rnacentral:rRNA from 1 species